rnacentral:hammerhead_ribozyme from 1 species
AUUCAGCUGACGAGUUUCAAAUGGGACGAAACGCGCAUCCUGAAC